GACGAACGCUGGCGGCGUGCUUAACACAUGCAAGUCGAACGGAAAGGCCCUGCUUGCAGGGUACUCGAGUGGCGAACGGGUGAGUAACACGUGGGUGAUCUGCCCUGCACUUCGGGAUAAGCUUGGGAAACUGGGUCUAAUACCGGAUAGGAGCCAUCUUUAGUGUGGUGGUUGGAAAGUUUUUUCGGUGUAGGAUGAGCUCGCGGCCUAUCAGCUUGUUGGUGGGGUAAUGGCCUACCAAGGCGGCGACGGGUAGCCGGCCUGAGAGGGUGUACGGCCACAUUGGGACUGGGAUACGGCCCAGACUCCUACGGGAGGCAGCAGUGGGGAAUAUUGCACAAUGGGCGCAAGCCUGAUGCAGCGACGCCGCGUGGGGGAUGAAGGCCUUCGGGUUGUAAACUCCUUUCGCUAGGGACGAAGCUUUUUGUGACGGUACCUAGAUAAGAAGCACCGGCUAACUACGUG
rnacentral:rRNA from 1 species